rnacentral:rRNA from 1 species
UACGAAGGGUGCAAGCGUUGUUCGGAAUUACUGGGCGUAAAGGGUUCGUAGGCGGGAAUGUAAGUUGAAUGUGAAAACCCCGGGCUUAACCUGGGACGUGCAUCCAAACUGCGUUCUUGAGUGUCUGAGAGGGUCGUGGAAGUUGCUGGUGUAGGAGUGACAUCCGUAGAGAUCAGCAGGAACACCGGAGGCGAAAGCGACGACCUGGCAGAACACUGACGCUGAGGAACGAAAGCGUGGGGAGCAAACAGG